GGGAGUUUCCCAGGGAAAAUCUGAAACUGGCCCCUGUACACUGAAGGCAAGGAGAGACCCAAGAAAGAGGGAGAUGGUUCCAGAUUGACUUUCUAAACAUCACUGGGAUCCAACUGAAGGUCAUAAUGAGACUAGCAUCCUAAGUGAAUGAAAUUCUCUUCUCAAAGAAAUCCUCCUGCUGUAUUUCCAUUGUGAGAAGUGCAACCCUGUGGGAGAGAAGGAUAUCUCAAGCAAACGU